GACGAACGCUGGCGACGUGCUUAACACAUGCAAGUCGAACGGAAAGGCCCUGCUUUUGUGGGGUGCUCGUGUGGCGAACGAGUGAGUAACACGUGAGUAACCUGCCCUUGAGUUUGGGAUAACUUCAGGAAACUGGGGCUAAUACCGGAUAGGAGCUCCUGCUGCGUGGUGGGGGGUGGAAAGUUUCGGCGGUUGGGGAUGGACUCGCGGCUUAUCAGCUUGUUGGUGGGGUAGUGGCUUACCAAGGCUGUGACGGGUAGCCGGCCUGAGAGGGUGACCGGCCACAUUGGGACUGAGAUACGGCCCAGACUCCUACGGGAGGCAGCAGUGGGGAAUAUUGCACAAUGGGCGGAAGCCUGAUGCAGCAACGCCGCGUGCGGGAUGACGGCCUUCGGGUUGUAAACCGCUUUCGCCUGUGACGAAGCGUGAGUGACGGUAAUGGGUAAAGAAGCACCGGCUAACUACGUG
rnacentral:rRNA from 1 species